UACGUAGGGUGCGAGCGUUAAUCGGAAUUACUGGGCGUAAAGCGUGCGCAGGCGGUUUCGCAAGUCAGAUGUGAAAGCCCCGGGCUUAACCUGGGAACUGCGUUUGAAACUACGAAGCUAGAGUACGGCAGAGGGAGGUGGAAUUCCAAGUGUAGCAGUGAAAUGCGUAGAUAUUUGGAGGAACACCGAUGGCGAAGGCAGCCUCCUGGGCUAGUACUGACGCUCAUGCACGAAAGCGUGGGGAGCAAACAGGAUUAGAUACCCUGGUAGUCCACGCCCUAAACGAUGGCAACUAGUUGUUGGGGAUUAACAUCCUUAGUAACGCAGCUAACGCGUGAAGUUGCCCGCCUGGGGAGUACGGUCGCAAGAUUA
rnacentral:rRNA from 1 species